rnacentral:lncRNA from 1 species
GAGGUGCUUUGCUUCAACCUGCAAGGAUCUAUACUAGCUGAGAGUGUUUUCGUGUGAACCUUUUAUCAUGGAACCAAACAUUUGAAGUGGAAUAAAUCAAAGAUGAUAUACACAAAGUUUAAGCACUAUAUAAAAUCAUUAACAGUCAAAAAACAAACCUUUAAAAAAGCAUGUAAAACCUUUAAAAUACGUUGUAAAAUCCAUAACUGGAAUAAAUCAGAGAUGAUAAACACAAAGUUAAAGCAAUAAAAUCAUUAACAGUAAAAAACAAACCUUUGAAAAGCAUGUAAAAUACGUUGUAAAAUCCAGAAGUGAAAAUAAUCAGAGAUGAUAUACAGAUUUUGCUUGAAUAAAGCUUCUAAAAAACAGAGAUCAGUUACCUGAAAUUGACAGAGCCGGACACAGAGAGAGAGAUACAGAUCUCGCUUAAAAAAUCGAAUCCAGCAGAUCUCGCUUAGAACGAUAGAAAAUCGUUACAGGUUGAAAAUUAAACACAUCACAAGGGAGAGAACAGAUCUAAGAAUAGAGAAACAGAUUUAGGAAUAGAUCGUUGCGCGAUUAUGUUGAUCGAUUGGAACUAAUCUAGAUCUAGAUCUAGGAAUAGAGAAAGAGAGAGAGAGAGAGAGAGAGAGAGAGAGAGAGAGAGAGAGAUAGCCGCUCGAUGGAAGAGAAAGAGAGAGGAAGACAAAAAAAAAAUCUGAUUCUAGGGUUGAAAAGGGGAAGGGUAUUUUGGUCAGUUUAGACAUUUUUGAAGGGCAUUUUUAAAAAUCACCAGCUUAAAGGGGUAUUAUUAAAAAAGGGGUAUUAUUAAAAAAGGGCAUAUGAAAGGGGGCAUUAUUAAUAAUUUCC